rnacentral:tRNA from 1 species
GCUCUCAUAGCGCAAUUAGUUAGAGCGUCCGCUUAGUAAGCGAAGGUCUUGGGUUCGACUCUCAACAAGAGUA